rnacentral:rRNA from 1 species
AACGAACGCUGGCGGCGUGGAUAAGACAUGCAAGUCGAACGAGAAACUUUUUAAGCUUGCUUUGAAAGUUUCUAGUGGCGGACGGGUGAGUAACACGUGAGCAACCUGCCCUAAAGUGGGGGAUAGCCUUCCGAAAGGGAGAUUAAUACCGCAUAUGAUCGCAAGAUUAAAGGUGGCUUCGGCUGCCGCUUUGGGAUGGGCUCGCGGCCUAUCAGCUAGUUGGUGAGGUAACUGCUCACCAAGGCGAUGACGGGUAGCUGGUCUGAGAGGACGAUCAGUCACACUGGAACUGAGACACGGUCCAGACACCUACGGGUGGCAGCAGUCGAGAAUCAUUCACAAUGGGCGAAAGCCUGAUGGUGCGACGCCGCGUGGAGGAUGAAGGCCCUAGGGUCGUAAACUCCUGUCAUCAGGGAGUAAGGGCUUUACGAGUAACUGCGUAGGGCAUUGAUAGUACCUGAAGAGGAAGGGACGGCUAACUUCG